rnacentral:rRNA from 1 species
CGCCGUGCGGCAGGCCUACACAUGCAGUCGAGCGGAACGAGUUAUCUGAACCUUCGGGGAACGAUAACGGCGUCGAGCGGCGGACGGGUGAGUAAUGCCUAGGAAAUUGCCCUGAUGUGGGGGAUAACCAUUGGAAACGAUGGCUAAUACCGCAUAAUGCCUACGGGCCAAAGAGGGGGACCUUCGGGCCUCUCGCGUCAGGAUAUGCCUAGGUGGGAUUAGCUAGUUGGUGAGGUAAUGGCUCACCAAGGCGACGAUCCCUAGCUGGUCUGAGAGGAUGAUCAGCCACACUGGAACUGAGACACGGUCCAGACUCCUACGGGAGGCAGCAGUGGGGAAUAUUGCACAAUGGGCGCAAGCCUGAUGCAGCCAUGCCGCGUGUGUGAAGAAGGCCUUCGGGUUGUAAAGCACUUUCAGUCGUGAGGAAGGUAGUGUAGUUAAUAGCUGCAUUAUUUGACGUUAGCGACAGAAGAAGCACCGGCUAACUCCGUGCCAGCAGCCGCGGUAAUACGGAGGGUGCGAGCGUUAAUCGGAAUUACUGGGCGUAAAGCGCAUGCAGGUGGUUUGUUAAGUCAGAUGUGAAAGCCCGGGGCUCAACCUCGGAAUAGCAUUUGAAACUGGCAGACUAGAGUACUGUAGAGGGGGGUAGAAUUUCAGGUGUAGCGGUGAAAUGCGUAGAGAUCUGAAGGAAUACCGGUGGCGAAGGCGGCCCCCUGGACAGAUACUGACACUCAGAUGCGAAAGCGUGGGGAGCAAACAGGAUUAGAUACCCUGGUAGUCCACGCCGUAAACGAUGUCUACUUGGAGGUUGUGGCCUUGAGCCGUGGCUUUCGGAGCUAACGCGUUAAGUAGACCGCCUGGGGAGUACGGUCGCAAGAUUAAAACUCAAAUGAAUUGACGGGGGCCCGCACAAGCGGUGGAGCAUGUGGUUUAAUUCGAUGCAACGCGAAGAACCUUACCUACUCUUGACAUCCAGAGAACUUUCCAGAGAUGGAUUGGUG